UACGAAGGGGGCUAGCGUUGUUCGGAUUUACUGGGCGUAAAGCGCAUGUAGGCGGAUCGUUAAGUCGGGGGUGAAAUCCUGGAGCUCAACUCCAGAACUGCCUUCGAUACUGGCGAUCUUGAGUCCGGAAGAGGUGAGUGGAACUCCUAGUGUAGAGGUGGAAUUCGUAGAUAUUAGGAAGAACACCAGUGGCGAAGGCAAUCCCCUGGGCCUGCACUGACGCUCAUGCACGAAAGCGUGGGGAGCAAACAGG
rnacentral:rRNA from 1 species